UGCCAGCCGCCGCGGUAAUACGGAGGGUGCAAGCGUUGUUCGGAAUUACUGGGCGUAAAGCGCGCGUAGGCGGCUUUUUAAGUCAGAUGUGAAAGUCCACGGCUCAACCGUGGAAGUGCAUUUGAAACUGGGAGGCUUGAGUAUUGGAGGGGGUGGUGGAAUUCCCGGUGUAGAGGUGAAAUUCGUAGAUAUCGGGAGGAAUACCGGUGGCGAAGGCGGCUUUCUGGACCAAUACUGACGCUGAGAUGCGAAAGCGUGGGGAGCGAACAGGAUUAGAUA
rnacentral:rRNA from 1 species